ensembl:lncRNA MUC20-OT1 MUC20 overlapping transcript
AACCUUUGCUGUCUUGGGACGGAUCACCGCUGCAAGAGGGGAAGUUGCUACUGUGAUGAAUUCUGCCAUGUGGCACCAGACUGCCACCCAGACCACAGUGUCCUCUGCAACCCUGGUAACUCACAUACAGGCCCGAUUCCACCUACAGCAAAGCUGGAUGCGAUGGCUGGCAGAGGCAAACCCUUUGCCUGCACUUCAGGCCAAAGCCGGGAUGUGGCCUAGAUGGUUCCUAAGGUCCCUGACAAUCCUGAGAUCUUGCAUCUUGUCUAUUUCAGGUCAAAGCUUCUCAGAUGACCAAGAUGGUGCUGCAGAUGGUGCUGAGGAUGGAGAACCCACCAAGCCCCGCUAGGAGCCACCUAGACUGGAUGCAGAGCAUGGCUAAAACCUUUGAAGAAGAAUUUAUUAUAUCCUACAAACCUGGGAGGCAGAGGUUGCAGUGAGCCAAGAUUGGGCCAUCGCACUCCAGCCUGGGCAAUAAGAAUGAAACUCUGUCUCAAAAAAAACAAAAGUUGGCCAGGGCUGGGCGUGGUGGCUCACACCUGUAAUCCCAGCACUUUGGGGGGCUAAAGCAGGUGGAUC